CAGCUUGAUUGGCUGCUAAUUUGGGGUUUUUUUUGUUGUUGAAGUUUAGUUCUGGCUGCCUACUUGUCAGAGUGUUUUGGCCUCUUACUCAGAGCUGGGUGGUGGUGCCUCUGUGUGAGCCUGACACCUGAGUUCUGGGGAGAGUGAGCAAUUUGGAGACUUGCACUCAGUUUGCCACUGCAGAGCUCUGGGUUAUUGCCCCACUCAUGUGAAGGGCCCUGGCUUACAUCUUACAUGGGGGAUUUGCUCCCUAAUGGUUUAUGGCUGAGGCAUUUCAAGGUAUCUGGCUUGGCAGGAGGUGGCUGCAGGCACUUUGGUGUUCUGUUGGCUCACUGUGUCUUCUCCAGCACCAAGAGGUCACAUCCUGGGGCUGGUGUCAUGAGGGCUCACCUGCUCUGAUCCCAGAAAUCAGGAAUUACGUUCAGUUUACUAUCAGUGGUCUGUUUAUCCAACCCAACUACAAUGUGAAGAGCAACUUGCCCUCUGAGACUCAGGAAAACCAAGAAAUGAAUGAAUGAACAGUGUUCCUCUCACUUUGCCUUCCCUGUCCUCUCCACUGCCUCUCCCCUGAGGGAAUGCGGGCCCACCUGUCACUCUGUGGGACACUCUGCAAUAGGUGCCCAGAUCCCUGUCACUUGAAGCCACUUUAUCAGUGCAUUGUAUUGCUAUUCACAGAUCUAACAAAUAGCUCAAUGGGCUGGAGCACAGCAAGCUGUAAGGACUGAAACCUCUUUUUGUGCAGAAAAGGUAGAAAUUAGAAUUGUUUGGAAAGGGAAGGUGAAAUUAAGUGAGGGCAGGACUUGUCCCAUUGUCAGUGCUUGGUGUCAUGAAGAUUUUCUCCCAAAGUUGCUGCCAGUUACCUGACAAUCUCUCUUAUGACCUCAGAAAUUUAACUUUUUUUUUUCAAUAUUGCCAUUCCAUGAUGCUAAAGAUAACUACAACCAUAUACAGAAUUUUGAAGGAUAAGAAGGACAUCAUUAGCUUUUUAGCUCCUACAGAUAAGCUUUCUUUCCUGUUUGAAGACUGCUAUAAAUAAUGCAAAACUAAAGAGAUUGUAAAUAUACUAUCAUGAGGAAUGUUUUAAUAAUUCAAAAGUUCUGAACUGCUGGAGCACUCAUCUCUUAACCAAUCCAAAGAAUAUGAGCAGGUUGUCCUCAUGAUGUGCACAGUAUGUUCUGGCAGGCAGCAAAACAGAAGCAAAGGAUGAAUAAAACUCUAAUUCUGUACUUAUUUA